rnacentral:rRNA from 1 species
AACGAACGCUGGCGGCAGGCUUAACACAUGCAAGUCGAACGGUUGUAGCAAUACAGCAGUGGCAGACGGGUGAGUAACACGUGGGAACCUUCCUAGGGGUACGGAACAACUCAGGGAAACUUGAGCUAAUACCGUAUACGUCCGUGAGGAGAAAGAUUUAUCGCCCUUAGACGGGCCCGCGUCGGAUUAGCUAGUUGGUGGGGUAACGGCCUACCAAGGCGACGAUCCGUAGCUGAUCUUAGAGGAUGAUCAGCCACACUGGGACUGAGACACGGCCCAGACUCCUACGGGAGGCAGCAGUGGGGAAUCUUGGACAAUGGGCGCAAGCCUGAUCCAGCCAUGCCGCGUGAGUGAAGAAGGUCUUCGGAUUGUAAGCUCUUUUACCAGGGACGAUAAUGACGGUACCUGGAGAAUAAGACCCGGCAAACUUCGUG